rnacentral:rRNA from 1 species
GUGCCAGCAGCCGCGGUAAUACGUAGGUGGCAAGCGUUAUCCGGAAUUAUUGGGCGUAAAGCGCGCGCAGGCGGUUUUUUAAGUCUGAUGUGAAAGCCCACGGCUCAACCGUGGAGGGUCAUUGGAAACUGGAAAACUUGAGUGCAGAAGAGGAAAGUGGAAUUCCAUGUGUAGCGGUGAAAUGCGCAGAGAUAUGGAGGAACACCAGUGGCGAAGGCGACUUUCUGGUCUGUAACUGACGCUGAUGUGCGAAAGCGUGGGGAUCAAACAG